rnacentral:rRNA from 1 species
GACGAACGCUGGCGGCGUGCUUAACACAUGCAAGUCGAACGGAAAGGCCCUUCUUUUUUUGGUUGCUCGGGUGGCGAGGGGGUGGGUAGCGUGUGAGUAGCCUACCCUGGCCUUUUGUUUUGCUUCACGAAACUGAGGCGUAGCUCGUAUAGGAUCUCCUGCUGCAUUGUGGUGGUUGGACUGGGUCAGCGGUUGGUGCUGUAUUCGCGGGUUUUGAGCUUGUUGGUGGGGUAGGGGCUGACCAAGGCUUUGACGGGUAGCCGGCCUGAGAGGGUGACCGGCCACACUGGGACUGAGACAGGGCGCAGACGUCUACGGGAGGGCGCAGUGGGGAAUAGUGUACAAUGGGGGCGAGGCUGAUGCAGCAGAGCCGCGCGCGGGAUGAAGGUCUUCGGGUUGUGAACCGCUCUCGCCUGUGACGAAGCGGGAGUGACGGUAAUGGGUAAAGAAGCACCGGCUAACUACGUG